rnacentral:rRNA from 1 species
GAAGAAAGCUGGCGGCGUGCUUAACACAUGCAAGUCGAACGGAAAGGCCUGCUUUCCCUUGUGGAUUGCGGGUACUCGAGUGGCGAACGGGUGAGUAACACGUGAGUGAUCUGCCCCCAACUUGGGUAUAAGCCUGGGAAACUGGGUCUAAUUCCCGAUAGGACUGCAGGGUGGUGCCUGUGGUGGAAAACGAUUUUCUAGUGGUUGGGGAUGAGCUCGCGGCCUAUCAGCUUGUUGGUGGGGUAAUGGCCUACCAAGGCGGCGACGGGUAGCCGGCCUGAGAGUGUGGACGGCCACAUUGGGACUGAGAUACGGCCCAGACUCCUACGGGAGGCAGCAGUGGGGAAUAUUGCACAAUGGGCGGAAGCCUGAUGCAGCGACGCCGCGUGGGGGAUGACGGCCUUCGGGUUGUAAACUCCUUUCGACCGCGAGGAAGCCACCUGGUUGGAAGGGUGGUGACGGUAGUGGUAGAAGAAGCACCGGCUAACUACGUG